rnacentral:rRNA from 1 species
UACGUAGGGGGCAAGCGUUAUCCGGAUUUACUGGGUGUAAAGGGAGCGUAGACGGUGAAGCAAGUCUGAAGUGAAAGGCGGGGGCUCAACCCCCGGACUGCUUUGGAAACUGUUUGACUGGAGUGCAGGAGAGGUAAGUGGAAUUCCUAGUGUAGCGGUGAAAUGCGUAGAUAUUAGGAGGAACACCAGUGGCGAAGGCGACUUUCUGGACUGUACCUGACGCUGAGGCGCGAAAGCGUGGGUAGCGAACGGG